AAAUGACUCUCGGCAACGGAUAUCUCGGCUCUUGCAUCGAUGAAGAACGUAGCAAAAUGCGAUACGUGGUGUGRAUUGCAGAAUUCCGUGAACCAUCGAGUUUUUGAACGCAAGUUGCGCCCAAUGUCAAUUUGGCUAAGGGCACGUCUGCCUGGGCGUCACGC
rnacentral:rRNA from 1 species